rnacentral:misc_RNA from 1 species
UCGUAGGCUCCAUCUUGUAAAGACAAUGAU